UCCAGACUCCUACGGGAGGCAGCAGUGAGGAAUAUUGGUCAAUGGCCGGGAGGCUGAACCAGCCAAGUCGCGUGAGGGAAGACUGCCCUAUGGGUUGUAAACCUCUUUUGCCAGGGAGCAACGCCGGCUACGUGUAGCCGGACUGAGAGUACCUGAAGAAAAAGCAUCGGCUAACUCCGUGCCAGCAGCCGCGGUAAUACGUAGGUGGCAAGCGUUAUCCGGAUUUAUUGGGUGUAAAGGGCGUGUAGGCGGGAAAGCAAGUCAGAUGUGAAAACUAUGGGCUCAACCCAUAGCCUGCAUUUGAAACUGUUUUUCUUGAGUGCUGGAGAGGCAAUCGGAAUUCCGUGUGUAGCGGUGAAAUGCGUAGAUAUACGGAGGAACACCAGUGGCGAAGGCGGAUUGCUGGACAGUAACUGACGCUGAGGCGCGAAAGCGUGGGGAGCAAACAGGAUUAGAUACCCGGGUACUU
rnacentral:rRNA from 1 species